rnacentral:rRNA from 1 species
CCUACGGGGUGCAGCAGUGAGGAAUAUUGGUCAAUGGCCGGAAGGCUGAACCAGCCAAGCCGCGUGAAGGACGAAGGUGCCAAGCAUUGUAAACUUCUUUUGUCAAGGGACAAAAUCAGGCUCGAGAGCCUGACCGAGGGUACUUUACGAAAAAGCAUCGGCUAACUCCGUGCCAGCAGCCGCGGUAAUACGGAGGAUGCGAGCGUUAUCCGGAUUUAUUGGGGUUAAGGGGUGCGUAGGCGGACGGUUAAGUCAGCGGUAAAAGCCCGGGGCUCAACCCCGGCGAGCCGUUGAAACUGGCGGUCUUGAGAGGUCGAGAGGUAGGCGGAAUGCGCAGUGUAGCGGUGAAAUGCGUAGAUAUUGCGCAGAACUCCGAUUGCGAAGGCAGCAUACCGGCGGCGAUCUGACGCUGAGGCACGAAAGCGUGGGUAUCGAACAGGAUUAGAUACCCCAGUAGUC